rnacentral:rRNA from 1 species
AUGCGUUGUUGGGUAGGGGAGCGUUCUGUAAGCCUGUGAAGGUGGCCUGUGAGGGUGGCUGGAGGUAUCAGAAGUGCGAAUGCUGACAUAAGUAACGAUAAAGCGGGUGAAAAGCCCGCUCGCCGGAAGACCAAGGGUUCCUGUCCAACGUUAAUCGGGGCAGGGUGAGUCGACCCCUAAGGCGAGGCCGAAAGGCGUAGUCGAUGGGAAACGGGUUAAUAUUCCCGUACUUGGUGUUACUGCGAAGGGGGGACGGAGAAGGCUAUGUUGGCCGGGCGACGGUUGUCCCGGUUUAAGCGUGUAGGCUGGUUUUCCAGGCAAAUCCGGAAAAUCAAGGCUGAGGCGUGACGACGAGGCACUACGGUGCUGAAGCAACAAAUGCCCUGCUUCCAGGAAAAGCCUCUAAGCAUCAGGUAACAUCAAAUCGUACCCCAAACCGACACAGGUGGUCAGGUAGAGAAUACCAAGGCGCUUGAGAGAACUCGGGUGAAGGAACUAGGCAAAAUGGUGCCGUAA